CUGGUAACGAGAAAUUAAAAUUCCAAAUUGAAUUAAACUCAUUUAAGUUUUAUCUUGCAAAUCUUCCUUAUUCUUCCCCCUUUAUGGUGAAAACGUACUCAUAAUUAUGUACAAUCAACAUUAUCAAACGAUCAAGGUAUCUUCAUCUGCUAAAUGCUGAGGCUAUUUUUCGUAACAAAGAUGACUGAUUAAUGUGGAUUCUCGAGAAUCAAUAUGACAUUGAAUUCCAUAAAGUUCAAGUUAUCAAUUUGAUUCAAUGGGAGGAUUGGUGUUCUCAUAUGAACCUCCAUCUUGCCAGGUAUGUUAUGUGUUAAAUUCCACAUUGCUUGGACUGAACCACAUUUCUUAACAAUCAUGAUGUUUUAAAAUGGAACACCUUAUAUGAAUCGAUCAAUUUUGUUUAUUGUAAAUUGAAAGAGAAACCAAAUCUGGCAUGAUUUGCAUUCUUAGUAGAGUAAUUAGCGCAGAACGUUAUUACCUUUCAAUUUUAUUGUAAAAAACGUCCAUAUAUUUCAUUUUUUUGGCAUUUUCGCCCCUACUUUCAUAUUUUAUUGUGACAAUCAUUAUUUUCAUCCAAUUUUUCAACAAAAAAGAUAAAAUGACAAAUAUACCCUCCCAUUUAAAUAAAAAUAAAAAUAAAAAAUUUAAAGAACAAAUUGCAAUCACACUCCCAAACUAUUUUAAAAAGUGUAAAUGAGUCCAAAUAAAUUAUUAAAAGAAUAA
rnacentral:lncRNA from 1 species